GGGGAUGUGGUGGAAUUGGCAUACACGGGGCACUUAAAACGCUCUGCCUUCGGGCACAUGGGUUCGAAUCCCAUCAUCCCUACCA
rnacentral:tRNA from 1 species